rnacentral:rRNA from 1 species
CCUACGGGUGGCAGCAGUGAGGAAUAUUGGUCAAUGGACGCAAGUCUGAACCAGCCAUGCCGCGUGCAGGAUGACGGCUCUAUGAGUUGUAAACUGCUUUUGUACGAGGGUAAACGCAGAUACGCGUACCUGUCUGAAAGUAUCGUACGAAUAAGGAUCGGCUAACUCCGUGCCAGCAGCCGCGGUAAUACGGAGGAUUCAAGCGUUAUCCGGAUUUAUUGGGUUUAAAGGGUGCGUAGGCGGUCUGAUAAGUUAGAGGUGAAAGCCUGAGGCUCAACUUCGGAAUUGCCUCUGAUACUGUUCGGCUAGAGAGUAGUUGCGGUAGGCGGAAUGUGUGGUGUAGCGGUGAAAUGCUUAGAGAUCAUACAGAACACCGAUUGCGAAGGCAGCUUACCAAGCUACUUCUGACAUUGAGGCACGAAAGCGUGGGGAGCAAACAGGAUUAGAUACCCGGGUAGUC